rnacentral:rRNA from 1 species
AACGAACGCUGGCGGCAGGCCUAACACAUGCAAGUCGAACGCCGUAGCAAUACGGAGUGGCAGACGGGUGAGUAACACGUGGGAACGUACCUUUCGGUUCGGAAUAACUCAGGGAAACUUGAGCUAAUACCGGAUACGUGCGAGAGCAGAAAGAUUUAUCGCCGAAAGAUCGGCCCGCGUCCGAUUAGCUAGUUGGUGAGGUAAUGGCUCACCAAGGCGACGAUCGGUAGCUGGUCUGAGAGGAUGAUCAGCCACACUGGGACUGAGACACGGCCCAGACUCCUACGGGAGGCAGCAGUGGGGAAUAUUGGACAAUGGGCGCAAGCCUGAUCCAGCCAUGCCGCGUGAGUGAUGACGGCCUUAGGGUUGUAAAGCUCUUUCGCCAGGGACGAUAAUGACGGUACCUGGAUAAGAAGCCCCGGCUAACUUCGUGCCAGCAGCCGCGGUAA